rnacentral:misc_RNA from 1 species
UUGAAUGAACUUGGCUUGGUUGUUGCUGGCUUUUGCAAGUGCACGCCUUGUCAUCUUUAUAUCUCCACCUGUGCACCUCUUGUAGACCUGAAUUCAACUUUUCCGAGGCAACUCGGUCGUGAGGAAUUGCUUUGAUUAGCUUUCCUUGGUAGUGUUCAGGCCUAUGUUUUUCAUAUACACCAUAAGAAUGUAACAGAAUGUAAUUAUUAGACUUUUGAAGUCUUAUAAACUAUAUA